rnacentral:rRNA from 1 species
GAUGAACGCUAGCUACAGGCUUAACACAUGCAAGUCGAGGGGAAACGGCAUUAAGUGCUUGCACUUUUUGGACGUCGACCGGCGCACGGGUGAGUAACGCGUAUCCCACCUUCCCAUGACUAAGGGAUAACCUGCCGAAAGGCAGACUAAUACCUUAUGGUCUUCACUGACGGCAUCAGAUGUGAAGUAAAGAUUUAUCGGUUAUGGAUGGGGAUGCGUCUGAUUAGCUUGUUGGCGGGGUAACGGCCCACCAAGGCAACGAUCAGUAGGGGUUCUGAGAGGAAGGUCCCCCACAUUGGAACUGAGAAACGGUCCAAACUCCUACGGGAGGCAGCAGUGAGGAAUAUUGGUCAAUGGGAGAGAGCCUGAACCAGCCAAGUAGCGUGCAGGAAGACGGCCCUAGGGGUUGUAAACUGCUUUUGUAUGGGGAUAAAGUCAAUCACGUGUGAUUGUUUGCAGGUACCAUACGAAUAAGGACCGGCUAAUUCCGUG